rnacentral:rRNA from 1 species
AGUGAACGCUGGCGGUAGGCCUAACACAUGCAAGUCGAACGGCAGCACAGUAAGAGCUUGCUCUUACGGGUGGCGAGUGGCGGACGGGUGAGGAAUACAUCGGAAUCUACUUUUUCGUGGGGGAUAACGUAGGGAAACUUACGCUAAUACCGCAUACGACCUACGGGUGAAAGCAGGGGAUCGUCGGACCUUGCGCGAUUGAAUGAGCCGAUGUCGGAUUAGCUAGUGGGCGGGGUAAAGGCCCACCAAGGCGACGAUCCGUAGCUGGUCUGAGAGGAUGAUCGGCCACCUUGGAACUGAGACACGGUCCAGACUCCUACGGGAGGCAGCAGUGGGGAAUAUUGGACAAUGGGCGCAAGCCUUAUCCAGCCAUACCGCGUGGGUGAAGAAGGCCUUCGGGUUGUAAAGCCCUUUUGUUGGGAAAGAAAAGCAGCAGGUUAAUACCCCGCUGUUCUGACGGUACCCAAAGAAUAAGCACCGGCUAACUUCGUG